GUAGGUGAACCUGCGGAAGGAUCAUUAACACGUUUCGUUCCGAACGUUUUUGACCACUUCUAUUUUCCGUGCACUCAUGCGUCCGGCCUCCCAGCCGCUCACCGGGUUUACUCGGUGUGGCCUGUUGGGCGUACUUUUUAAAAAGUCUUCUGACUUUUUUUUGGUGCGUUGCCACCUAACCCAAACCCCUUAAAUCUAAAUUAUCUGAACUUUUAGUUGUGAAAGACUUCACCGUCUGAAUCAACGAUUAUUGAACAAACAACAACUCUUAACAACGGAUAUCUUGGUUCUC
rnacentral:misc_RNA from 1 species